GAAAGACCAACAGCUUCUAAAGCUGAGAAGAUGGCCAGGGACUCUUUGCUGCUGGAUGGAAGCUGUCUAGAGCUGCUAGAGUGUCACUCUGGUUGCCACCUUCUCCCAUAAGGACACGUUGACUGAGGGAGAUAUUGAGCCCUGCCCUGACUCUCCACACAA